AUGCCUGGAGAGAGAAGCAGGGUCUGACCUGUAGCCUCCGUGGCAGCUGUUGAUCAGCCAUUGCCUCUCUCUUUCUGCUGG
rfam:Myotis lucifugus cont2.29364, whole genome shotgun sequence.